rnacentral:rRNA from 1 species
UACGGGGGGGGGCAAGCGUUGUUCGGAAUUACUGGGCGUAAAGGGCUCGUAGGUGGCCAACUAAGUCAGACGUGAAAUCCCUCGGCUUAACCGGGGAACUGCGUCUGAUACUGGAUGGCUGGAGUAUGGGAGAGGAAUGCGGAAUUCCAGGUGUAGCGGUGAAAUGCGUAGAUAUCUGGAGGAACACCGGUGGCGAAGGCGGCAUUCUGGACCAUUACUGACGCUGAGGAGCGAAAGCCAGGGGAGCAAACGGG